AUAUAUAUAUAUAUAUAUAUAAUAUAUAUAUAUAUAUAUAUAUAUAUACAGAUACAAUCAUGUGUUAAUAUAUAUACACGCUCACAAACACACACACACAUAUACAUACAUAUAUAUUUACAUAAACAUACAUAUGUCUAUUUAUAUAUAUAUAUAUAUUUAUACAGAAGCAUGUACUAACUUAGACGCACGCACCUGCUUAUCUAUCUAUCUAUCUAUCUAUCUAUCUAGAAGUACAAACACAUACACACACAUAUAAGGACAAACGCACAUAUUCAUACACACACGUGCACACAUAUACUUAUAUGCAUACGCGUACACACACAUAUACACACAUUCAACUAACAUCUUGCGUGGACGUGUGGAGUUAAAAAACAUUUCGUGUACGGAUAAUAAUUGUAAUCUACAACCUACAACGACACUUGAGAGUACACACACUGCAAACUGUAAUUACUAUUAUAUAGAUAUAUAAACACACGCUCUUCGUUGUUGUUUGUAUAUAUAAUUAUAUAUAUAUAUAUACAGAGGAAAUAAGCUAUAUGGAAACCAAAAUAUACACUCGUGCAUGGAAAAUCUACAUAUUAUAUUACUGAACGACAUGUGUAAUGAAUGAAGGAUUGCAUUUGGAUGAUUGAAAAUACUUGCUGAAAUUUGAACCCGGUUCGAUAGCACACCAACCUCACGUUCCUCCUUAUAUACUCCAAGAUGGUUUUAUUACGAAAUAGCCUGAAGGUUGAUUGACAACAAACGUAUUGGAUAUUCAGUCAGAAUGAGAGAAAUGAACAAAAUACAUGUGUCCAAGGAAUCGGAAUUCAAAUUAAUCACAAUCGUUGAACGAACGUAUUAAAUUUCACGGUUCAAGACACGAAGAAUAGCAACAACAAAACGAAAAUAAGAAAACAAUCGACAACAAAAGAAAAACAAAAGUGGAUUUAGAAAGGACGUAAACGGAAGAUCAAGGUUUCAAAUCACACAUGAAAAAAAAAAAAUAUCUAUAUUUAUCCCGUGGAGAUUAAGGAAUAUACGUGAUUAAGAUGAGCAGCAAACCUGGAUAAUCUCAUAUAUAGAUCUGUUCUCUACUUGAUAGAGAUCAGAGCGAGAGAGAGAGAGAGAGAGAGAG